UUCUCCUUCGUCAUGUUUAUGUACGAUAAGCGCAUGAUUCGAAUAAUAUAUAUAAUGUAACACUUUGUAAACUUUUCUUUCUUCAGCAUGAAUUGAAACUUCAACUGAUAGAGCAACAGAUAAAAGAUAAAGAAAACGAACUUCAGCUUAUGCUCAAUCUUAGAUCUGCGGGAAAACAAAAGAAUCUUAAAGAGCACUUCUUGCUUGAUCUACAGAUAAAUGUUAUGCUAAAAAUGGUGAAAAAAGUGCUGAAGGGAAUCAACGAGUUUUUGAAGUAAUGAGAGACUAUAUUAAAGAUAACGAAGAUAUGACUGGUUCGCCUUUUGAUGAAAGAUCAACUGAUACACCAGUCUAUCACCUCGUAGAUUUCAUCAAGGAAAUAAAGAAAUGUAGUAUUGUUGAUAUUUCUGCCACCGACCAAUCGUCAACAGACAUACAAUCAACUGCACCAGUUCGAAGGCCAUGGAAGAUUUUCUUAAGUCUAUCAUCAGUAACGAAUUUCAACAAGAACUGUUUGACCUUAGACGAUGGCUACAAGUGCAACAUGACAUUGAAUCGUAUGACAUAAUGGCAAAUUGCUCAUCAAAUGGCAUAGAGAAAGCAAAACAAC